UAUUACAAUGGAUCUUUCAAAGAGAAAUUUUCAAAGUAUUUUUUUCCCUUAACACUUAAAGAGAAGUAAAUCCAUUACUCUGACAUUAUAAGCCAUGUAUAGCAAGUUUAAUUUAUCCCGAAAAGUGAAUUUUGGAUUCAGUUUAAAGGGACUUGGCUUUGAGUGUUUCCUCCUUUUCUUUUUACAAAACGUGCAAGUUUCAAUUUUGACAGCAACGUGAAAGUAACAUCAGACAACAGGUCCUGCUACUUCCUGAUUUGGUUAGCUGAGUGGAGUUGACCUGAAGAGGCAGCGAUUGCCCAGAGCACCUGCCUUGUAAAGACUUUUUCAUUGUGCUGCAUUGGGUGAUCUGUGAUUGGUCAGCCACAGAAAGUCUAGGUGGGGUCAGAAGGGGAGGACUUAAAAUUUAAAGACAAAAGAGCUGAAGCUUUUGCAAAAUGCUUUUAGAUAUACCCAUGAAUUUAAAAAAUGCAUAAAAACAUGCAUGUUUUCAUUCAAG